rnacentral:tRNA from 1 species
GCACCGGUAGUCUAAUGGUUAGGAUAGAAGCCUUCCAAGCUUUUGAUCCGGGAGAUGGUGAGCAUGAAAAAAUGUUCGCUGUCCGGAUAUUCGAAUCCCGGCCGGUGCA